GGUCCACCUUCCGGGUUGUCCGGUGCUCCGGCUGGGCCACUUCCGCCUGCGUGCUUCCGGCGGUCUGGUUCCGGAUCCCCCAGGCUGGCGCGCUCCUCUUCUCUGCGCGCCCGGUCCUCUCAGGACUGCGAACCCGACGGGCGGCGGAGGUGGUGGAUGAAGCAGGGUUCGAAUGUUUAUUUUUUUCCAAGGACUAAAGAGUAAUUUUGCCAAAGCAGAGCCGACAGACCCCACCACCAGCACCACCACCACCACGGCUCCGCCCCCGCCGGGUGCACCAUUAGACGUCUGUCAAUCAAACAAAUCCCUCCCGGGAGCGCCUCGUUUGACAGUGUCAAAUGCAAACCCCGACAGCCCUGCAGGGGCCGUGCGUCCCAGAUUUAAGGCAGGGAAAGUUCAGAAAGUACACCAAGCAGGUCAACUGGGGAAAAAAAGCAGUUUGGAGUGUGCCACGGGCUCUCAGAAUCCAUGGGGGCGUCCACCUGUGUCCCCCCCGAGGGAGGUUUGCAACUAGCGGGGUUCUCGGUGGGUGAGGAGGGGAGGAGACGAGCCAAGCAGAGCCGGGCGGCGGAGGUGAUCUGAACCGGCCGAGCUCUGCGGCUUCGGAACGCUCCGACCCAGCUGUGUGACCCUUGCGGGGUCAUCCCGGGGAACCGGGAAGAAAACCGAAGGCCGCCCCUCUCCUCGCACAGUGGCUCUCCCGGGAGACGGUGAGCGUUUCUGGAACAGAAGGGGCGGUGCAGCGCGUCCGCACACGUCCUCUCUCCCACUGAAACCGACUUGCUGAGCUUCGGGCCGGGAUACCUGCCAUCGUGCAGAGAGGCUGCAGCUGUCGUCUGCAGAUGGGACGGGGCGCUGACACCCCCAUCGCGUGUGUGUUGGAUGCUCCAGACGUGACCCUCGCAGCCUCCGCCCCCAACUUGAACCUUGUCAUCGCUAUUUUGGAACCUCAUUCCUUAAAGCCCGCAUUGCAUGCUGCUCGCGGGCCACCGAAUGGUAGACCGAGUCCUUGUGGCGGUCUCCGGGCUCAGAGACCGCUACCCACCCCUGGUGGCCUCAGCUUCUGCUUGUGUAGGAGGGGCGGUGUGCAGUGAGGACGUCCCAGGGCAACUGACACUUUUGCGACUGUGUUUAUUUGCUUCCCCGUCUCCCCUCCCACGGGUGCAGGGGCCAGGUCUCUGCAUCUCCGGCCUCUAUAACCCUACCCCCACCCCGGCCCUGGAGAAACCGAGGUGGGGGGCGAGCGAUCUAGCAAGUGCACGGCCCCACACGUUCUAAAUCUGGGUUUAGGAUCGCAGACUCUCGGCGCUAAAGCCUGAGGUUUUCCUGAUGCAUUUAGCCCGCCCUUUCACGGAGCAACACCAGCCUAGGACGGUGACCUGGGCCACUCGGGAGUGCUGAACCCACGGCGACCUGUGGGUCUUCCCUCCAGCAAAGAGUUCUCUCUGACAGGAACUAACUGUAAAGGGACAUCACUGAGGACUGUUUUCGGUGGGGUAGAUGUGACAGCACUGUUAUGACGUAAGCAUUUGUGGUUAUAAGGACCAAGUGCUAUCAUCUCUGGACAUCCCCCUGCUUUGUUGUGGGCUGGAGGGCAGAGGACACCAGCCUGGCUGCACCAUUAGGUUUGAUGUCAGCAUCCAUUACCACGCAGGCAUGACGAUACGAUCGAAGACUAAGUACCUGCUUCUCUUUCCUCUCAGCCCCCAUUGUGUAGUUAAUACUCUCAUCAAGUAUUAAGCAUCAGGAGGCUGCCAGAGGCCCCAGGGGCACUGGCCUAUUUGAUUUCACUUUGUGAAAGGAAUCAACGUUAUGCUAGACGCUAUAGACAGAUUGUUGUACUCAGGGACCUAGAGAGAAGUACUUAAGCCAGAUUUAUUGGGCUUACUUCACUGUUACUUCAGCUUUCCUGACUGAAGUCUGAGAUUCUGAGGGCAAGCCUCUCCUGGAGAACAGCCACCCUGGCUUCUACUCGCUUCUGGGGGUCCCAGCCUCCUCCUCUCAGGACUCCCAGCAGAAAGGAAGGCCACAGGCAUUGGACAGGCCAAUGAGGCUUUCCACGGGGGCACAGCUAAUAGCAGACCUCUGACUGCAGGUUGGCACUAUCGGUCUGUGCCCCCGAGGGCAAGGUCAUUACUACGCAGGCUCAGAGAGGCACUUAGAAUUCCUGAGAGGGGUUUGCCUUUGGUUCCCCAGUAACAACAGUUCCGGAACUCAAAAGGAAACCGAGUGGUUCUGUGUGGUGAAGCUACCCAAAUAGAUACGCAUGUAAAUGUACAGAAAGUGACUGGAAGGAACACAGGACUUAGUGAAAACAGUUAAGAUUGGAGGCAGGGGAGCACUAAAUAUGCCAGAGAUUUUAAGGUUUUGUUUUUUUUUUUUUAAACCACACUUCCCACUCCAUUAACUCAGUUAAGAUACACUCCCUCAGUCGGGCGUUGGUGGCGCACGCCUUUAAUCCCAGCACUCGGGAGGCAGAGAGCAGGCAGAUCUCUGUGAGUUCGAGGCCAGCCUGGUCUACAGAGCGAGUUCCAGGACAGCCUCCAAAACAAUACAGAGAAACCCUGUCUCGAAAAACCUAAAAUAAAAAAAUAUCACAAUUCUGUGUGUAUAGGGUGGGGGUGUAGAUGUCAAAGGACAUCUUGCAGGAGUUACCUCUCUUCCAUCUUGUGAGUUCCAGGACUUGGUGACAGAACUCGUCGGGCUUGCUGGCAGUUACCCGUACCCACUCGGCUAUCUUCCCCAGCUCUCUGAGGCAUCUCGGCCCCCUUAUUCAGCUGCUCUCCACCCUGGCCGCGUAAUUUACAAGCAGAGGUUUUAUAUAACUCACCGUUCUCAUAAUGGCCUGGAGCUGGUGGCAGGUGUCUUCGCAGGGUCUCCACGCUCUGCCGUCGCAUGACAGCCGAGCAAGGAAAUGAAACAGGGAAGAAGCAGAGAGGACACUGGAAUGGAAUCAGUCUUCUGGAACCACAAAGCCCACCUUCAGUGACCUCCUCCAACAAGGCCACACCUCCUAAUCCUUCCCAAACAAUCUCAUCACGUGGAGACCAAGUACCUCCAGAAUAGAGGAGCCUACUGGGACCAUUCUUGUUCAAACCACCUGUGCCUUUAAUGCCAGCGCUUGGGUGGCUGAGGCAGGUGGAUCUCUGUAGACACAGUUUCCGUCCUGCCUGGUCCCACAGCCACUUUGCCCCCAAAUAAAC